CUGCAGAUAACUACACUCUAGAACCGAAGGAGGAGUUUAGAGCCUGCUUCCAGGCUGUGGAGCGACUCAGUGAGGAUGAGAGCUACAUCCUGUCCUGCCAGCUGGAGCCCCAAUCCUAGCUGACCAGUGAAACUCAAGAACAAGAAGAAUUGGCCACAAUCAAGCUCAGGACUGAGUGAAUGUCCAGUGAUAGUGCAACCUUUCCUCAGCAGCUUGGACACUUGCUGUGAUGAACCCCAUCUCCUUGACACUUCUUCCUCCCAUCUAUUUACCUACUUGGAGUGGCAAUAUUUAUCUUAAAUAGUAAAAGCUAGAUUUGAAUAUUAUUAUAUUAAAGCCUUCUUUUAUAGCCCA